CAAACCUUGUCAUGCUUUUAUCAGUUUUUAUCUGACUUCUUACAUUCCAAAGGUUGCAUGCACUUGUAACCCUAUGGCUGAAUUCUGGUGAAAAUUAAGCCAAGGCUACAAAGUCUCGAGCAAGCUCACCAACAAACAAUGGCUCUUGUUAUUAUCCACUGUAAUGAUAGUUCUAACAAAAACUGAUAAAAGCAUGACAAGGUUUGAGCAUCUUCAGCCAAUAUCCAGCAGCAUUUUAGAAAGGAGAAGGGGGUGCCAUGCCCCUAAAUCGGACUCAUUGUUUGAAAGAUUACGAACUACUACUAUCUGCCUUAGUGAGAGAUUACAUUCUGAUCUUCAUGCUUGCUAAAGUAAAGAACUCAGAAUAAAAACAACUUUAAAUUACAAGUUUAGAUGCAGGUGAUUUUGCAUCUUCUUUCACAAUAUUUCCGAUUGGAGGCGAUGGUACCUCGCCGUAGAUGGACUUGAGUCUGGCAAGAGGGACCAAGGCGGCAUCGGAGUCUGCUUCAGCGAAAAGCUGUUGUUUCCAGUCCCACAUAGUCUUUUUCAAUGCUUUGUUUGAUUUUAUCAAAGAAUCCUUCUCCGCCUCCAGAGCUUCUAUGUCCUUUUGCUGGUUCACAGAUCGCACGCUUAGCACCACGAAAGAUCCUACGAGGCAUACGUUUAUCAGUGUGUUGUUAUUACUGGCUCUCAUUGCUGCACCGACCAAUCUGUUUGCGAACUCCAUUUUUGGUUCCCGCUAGCUCUUGUUGCAGCGUCCUUGCUUCGCGUCGGAGCUCGAAAAUGGAGGUUUGAACCUAAAUAGUCCGUAGAAAAGUAGCGAAGGUGGAUUCAUCCAUAUCCA
rnacentral:misc_RNA from 1 species